rnacentral:rRNA from 1 species
CCCUUAGAUGUUCUGGGCUGCACGCGCGCUACACUGAAGCGUUCAACGAGUAUUCACCUUGCCCGGGAGGGUUGGGUAAUCUUUUGAAAACGCUUCGUGAUGGGGAUAGAUUAUUGCAAUUAUUAAUCUUCAACGAGGAAUUCCUAGUAAGCGCGAGUCAUCAGCUCGUGCUGAUUACGUCCCUGCCCUUUGUACACACCGCCCGUCGCACCUACCGAUUGAAUGGUCCGGUGAAAUCUCGGGACGGCGGCUUGGUCGCUUGCGUCCGACUGCUGAAACUUGAUUAAACCAUAUCAUUUAGAGGAAGGUGAAGUCGUAACA